GGGGGGUGUAGGGGGGACAUAGCGGGGGAUGUAUGGGGGCAUGGGAUGGGGGGGGACGUUUGGGGACACGGGAGGACAUUGGGACAGAGAAGGACAUGGGAACAUGGGGGGACACUGAGGGACAUAGAAGGAUUUGGGGACAUGGGGGGGACAUUUGGGGACAUGGAGGGGGCACGGGGAUGUGGGGGGGCAUGGAGGAACGUGGGGACAGGGAGGGGACGUUUGGGGAUGUGGGGGGAUGUAGAGGGACGUGGAGGGGAUAUAAGGGACAUUGGGGGGAUAUUUGGGGGACGUGGAGGCAUUUGGGGACACGGAGGGGUCAUUUGGGGACAUGGAGGGGUCAUGUGGGGACAUGGAGGGGGGCGGAGAGAAAUGUGGGGACGUGAGAGGACACCGAGGGGACACUGCGAGACAGAGAAGGAUUUGGGGACGUGGAGGGGACAUUUGGGGACAGGGGGGACACUGAAGGACAUUUGGGGACGCAGAGGGGACGUUUGGGGAGGUGGGGGGACAUAGAAGGACAUGGAGGUGACAGUGGUGACGUGGGGGGGGCCGUGGAGAUGCAGAGGGGAUGCAGAGAGCCAUGGGGCCAUCAGGGCACAGAGAGGUGACAUUGAGGGACAGGGAAGUGGCAUUUGGGGACGUGGGGGGGACUUGGGGGUGUAUAGGAGGAUUUUGGGGACACGGAGGUGACAUUUGGGGACGUGGGGGAGACGCUGGGGGACAUGGAGGGGACAUACGGGGAUGUGGGGGGGGUGUGGGGACAUGGAGAGCCGUGGGGCCAUCAGGGGACAGAUAGGUGAUGUUGAGGAACACGGAAGUGGCAUUUGGGGACAUGGGGGGGGACUGUGGGGCAUAUAGACGGAUUUUGGGGACACGGAGGUGGCAUUUGGGGACAUGGGGGAGACGCUGGGGGACAUGGAGGUGACAUACGGGGAUGUGGGGACACAGAGGGGACACGGAGAGCCGUGGGGCCAUCAGGGGACAGAUAGGUGACGUUGAGGGACACGGAAGUGACAUUUGGGGACGUGGGGGAGAUUCUGGGGGACAUGGAGGGGACAUACGGGGAUGUGGGGGGGAUGUGGGGACACGGAGAGCCGUGGGGCCAUCAGGGGACAGAGAGGUGACGUUGAGGGACAGGGAAGUGGCAUUUGGGGACGUGGGGGGGAUUCUGGGGCACACAGACGGAAUUUGGGGACACGGAGGUGACAUUUGGGGACGUUUGGAGCCUGAAG
ensembl:lncRNA